AGGUUGUCCAAUUUACCCUCUCUCCCUCUCUCUAUCUCUAUCUCUGAUUCGUACCACUAUUAUUCUAGUCCCCAAUACUGAUACACACACUUUCUCUCUCCCUCUGCAAACACUACUGCCCUCUCUCUCAAAAACUCAGAAGCAGACGACAUUUGUGAAAAACCAAGCAACCCUAGGCCAAUCCCCAAUGCCCUGAUUCUUCAAUUCAACCUAGAUGAAGCGAGACCACAUGAAUCGAGAGAAUUUCUCGAGCAGCUCCAAGAUGUUGCCCUGCGAGCCCGACGACGACGAGCUCUUCGCCGUGCUCGGCUACAACGUCAAGUCCUCCGACAUGGCCGAGGUGGCGCACAAGAUUGAGCAGCUCGAGGAAGUGAUGGGCAGCGUCCACCAGGAAGGCCUCUCCCAGCUCGCUGAUGAAACCGUUCAUUACAACCCUUCCGAUCUCGCCUCCUGGCUCGAAUCCAUGAUCUCCGGCCUCAAUCCCAUCCCCGAAUUCGAAUCCUCCUCGGAUCCCUUCCUCGAAUCUUCCACCAUCACCAUGCAUCGACAGCGUCAACAGUCAGAUGCCGGUUGACCUCGAUUUCGGCUCGGAUCUAAUCGCCAUACCCGGCAAAGCCGUUUACCCGAGAACCCAGCCGCAGGAGCCGCAACCCAAGAAACUCAAGACUUGUCCCUAUUCCAUCGCCGCCCUGCCCGUGCCCGUGCCCGUGCCGCCGCCCGCCACGCCGCUGCUCCUAGUUGACUCUCAGGAAAACGGCAUCCGGCUGGUUCACACGCUGAUGGCGUGCGCCGAAGCCGUACAGCAAGAGAACUUCAAAUUGGCCGAAGCCCUAGUGAAGAACAUCGGAUUUCUCGCGGUUUCGCAGGCCGGCGCCAUGAGAAAAGUCGCCACCUAUUUCGCCGAAGCGCUAGCAAGGCGAAUCUACAAAUUAUAUCCGGCCAAUCAGCAGGAUUCGGCGUUCAACGAUUUGCUGCAAAUGCACUUCUACGAGACCUGCCCCUAUCUCAAAUUCGCGCACUUCACCGCCAACCAAGCGAUUCUCGAGGCCUUCGCGGGUAAAAGCCGAGUCCACGUCAUCGAUUUCAGCAUGAAACAGGGGAUGCAAUGGCCGGCGCUGCUGCAGGCGCUGGCGCUGAGGCCCGGCGGCCCGCCCAGCUUCCGUUUAACCGGAAUCGGCCCGCCCUCGCACGACGAAACCGAUCACUUGCAGGAAGUCGGGUGGAGAUUAGCUCAAUUGGCGGAAUCGAUCAAUGUGGAGUUCGAAUACAGAGGCUUCGUGGCGAGCUCCUUGGCGGAUCUCGACGCCGCCAUGUUCGAUAUCCGCGAGGGCGAGACGGUGGCCGUGAAUUCGAUCUUCGAGCUCCAUCAGCUGCUGGCGCGGCCGGGGGCGAUCGAGAAGGUGCUUCAAGUUGUGAGUGGGUUGAAGCCGGAGAUCUUGACCGUGGUUGAGCAGGAGGCCAAUCACAACGGGGCUAUGUUCAUGGACCGAUUCACGGAGUCCCUGCAUUAUUACUCCACCCUCUUCGACUCAUUGGAGAGCUGCGGCGGCGGCGGAGGAGAGGAGGCGGUUAGCGUUCAGGAUAAGGUGAUGAGCGAGGUAUACCUUGGGCGGCAGAUAUGCAAUGUGGUGGCGUGUGAAGGGGUGGACCGGGUGGAGCGGCACGAGACCCUGGCCCAGUGGAAAACCCGGUUCGGUUCGGCCGGGUUUGAGCCGGUUCACUUGGGGUCGAACGCUUACAAGCAGGCUAGCAUGCUGCUGGCACUGUUUGCAGGUGGAGAUGGUUACAGAGUGGAUGAAAAUAAUGGAUGCUUGAUGUUGGGAUGGCACACCAGGCCAUUGAUUGCCACCUCUGCUUGGAAACUCACUGGGUUAACUCGCCAACGCUGAGACCCACCACUUCUCUAGUGUGUGUGUAAUUGUUAAAGUGAAUUUUCGUGUUUGGUGGAAUCCUGUAAUUUUGAGGGGUGAAUCUGGAAUAGCAAUGUGUAUUUGGAUAUAUAGCUUUUGCACAAUAAAAAGGAAAGGCAGUCUUUUUGAA